rnacentral:rRNA from 1 species
GACGAACGCUGGCGGCGUGCCUAAUACAUGCAAGUCGAACGCAGUGGGGACGGGUGAGUAACACGUGGGUAACCUCCCAUCAGAGGGGAUAACACUUGGAAACAGGUGCUAAACCGAUAUUGAUGGAUGGACCCGCGGUGCAUUAGCUAGGUGGUGAGGUAAGGGCUCACCAAGGCCACGAGGCAUAGCCGUGCUGUGAGGUUGUUCGGCCACACUGCGACUGAGACACGGUCCGGACGCCUGCGCGAGGCAGGAGUUGGGAAUUUGCGGCAAUGGACGAAAGUCUGGCCGAGCAAUGCCUCGUGAGUGAAGAAGGUUUGCGGAUCGGACAACUCUGUUGUUAGAGAAUCGGUAUCUAACCAGAAAGCCACGGCUGACUACGUGCCAGCAGCCGCGGUAAUAC